AGUGUCUGGUGGGUAGUUUGACUGGGGCGGUCUCCUCCUAAAGAGUAACGGAGGAGCACGAAGGUUGGCUAAUCCUGGUCGGACAUCAGGAGGUUAGUGCAAUGGCAUAAGCCAGCUUGACUGCGAGCGUGACGGCGCGAGCAGGUGCGAAAGCAGGUCAUAGUGAUCCGGUGGUUCUGAAUGGAAGGGCCAUCGCUCAACGGAUAAAAGGUACUCCGGGGAUAACAGGCUGAUACCGCCCAAGAGUUCAUAUCGACGGCGGUGUUUGGCACCUCGAUGUCGGCUCAUCACAUCCUGGGGCUGAAGUAGGUCCCAAGGGUAUGGCUGUUCGCCAUUUAAAGUGGUACGCGAGCUGGGUUUAGAACGUCGUGAGACAGUUCGGUCCCUAUCUGCCGUGGGCGCUGGAGAACUGAGGGGGGCUGCUCCUAGUACGAGAGGACCGGAGUGGACGCAUCACUGGUGUUCGGGUUGUCAUGCCAAUGGCACUGCCCGGUAGCUAAAUGCGGAAGAGAUAAGUGCUGAAAGCAUCUAAGCACGAAACUUGCCCCGAGAUGAGUUCUCCCUGAGACUUUAAGUCUCCUGAAGGAACGUUGAAGACGACGACGUUGAUAGGCCGGGUGUGUAAGCGCAGCGAUGCGUUGAGCUAACCGGUACUAAUGAACCGUGAGG
rnacentral:rRNA from 1 species